rnacentral:rRNA from 1 species
UACAGAGGGUGCAAGCGUUGCUCGGAAUCACUGGGCGUAAAGGGCGCGUAGGCGGAUCUUUAAGUCAGGGGUGAAAGCCUGAGGCUCAACCUCAGAAUUGCCCUUGAUACUGAAGAUCUUGAGACCGGAAGAGGUUAGUGGAACUGCGAGUGUAGAGGUGAAAUUCGUAGAUAUUCGCAAGAACACCAGUGGCGAAGGCGGCUCACUGGCCCGGAACUGACGCUGAGGCACGAAAGCGUGGGGAGCAAACAGG